UUAGCCGUAGUUCAGCAUUAGCAUAUAGCAUUAGCAUAUCCUAGUCUUUAGCAUAGCUUUUAGUGUUAUACAUACUUAUUUAGUGUUAGCUUGGCUGUUGGAUAUUGUAGUUUAGUUAAUGUUUGGCUGUUAGUGUAAUUAGGAAAGUAGUUCGGGUUUAGUGCUCCAUAUCGUGUUAGCAUGGUGAGAUGGUGUAGUGUAGUAUGGUUGCGGAGCUCUGUCGGGUUGCACUCCUUUCCGCUGGACUUAGAAAUUAGGCGCCAGUGGUUGCGUGUCUGGAAAAGAUUCAGCUCCCGCCUGGUGCUGUAGUUUGCAACCAGCAUUUUACCUGCAAUUCUGCAUGUCUCCGUUCCAAGAGGGAGGCUGUGCCCACCGUGGCUCUUCCGCGAUUUAGAGACAGCCCACCGACUCUGCUCCCCCACCAUGACGGGCUCCAGUCUGAGGCUAAAUCUACCCAAGACACUGGCUGUCAGACUGAUUUAGUAAUCUGCAAGAAUGCACUUGUCCAGGCUGACGUGGUGUUACCCGUAGCAAAGAGCUCACAGCCUCAGUGUCUUGUGACACAGGGACCAUGACAGAAAUUCAUCUUCCAGAAGGUCCCAGAGCAUCCACACCUCCUGAAAAGUCCAAGAUGUGAGGUGUCUGCUGUUGAUUCCAGCUUCCACCUCAGUGACAGUGCAAGCUCAGUGAACUGUUCAAGGAGGCUACUGAUUCUGGCCCUGUGACACUUGGUGGUGACGUGUGAGCUGAUUCACCUGGUAAAUAACUUUUAAAUUAAAUAUUUUGUUUUUGCUAUCAAAAGUAAAUUAACUAAUAACCUGCAUUACUGCAGGACACUCAGCAAAAUAUGGACUCUACACCAUGAGGCAGGCACACGUUAAUAACUCUAUAAGAGCACAUAAGGUGAGCAACACCACAUAUUAUUUUUAUUACUGUACACUGUCCUGGAUUUGUUUUCUUUCUGCAUGAUUUGUUUUCUUUCUGCAUCUCAUCAUUAGCCUGGCUGAUCACCUGAUAACUCCUGUCAUCUGGUUAUGACAGCAUGAGGAUGUCCUCACACACCUGUCAUCUGGUUAUGACAGC